GAUUUGUCACACUAGAAUUACAGAAUAAUCACAGAUUAACUCCAACAUUCAGUGCCUGCUUAAGUAAACAUUCUUUAUUAAAACUAAAGAAUCAGUCUUACAAAAGAUAUUAAUAGCUCUUUCUUAAACUAUUGGAUUAGCAGAAUAUUACGAUCAGUAUAUUUCAGAAGCACUAUCUUAAGGGGAAAAAAACACAUUUUUAAAUACACAGCUUAGCAAGCCAAAAACCAAAGUACACAUUCAGGUACAUUUCAUGUAAUUAGGCUGUCUCUUAGUUAUAGCUCAAUUACAUCACAGGUAUUUGUAACAUGAGGACAGCAGAAUUUUCUAGUAUCUUUUGAAAGCAUCAAAAGAGUUUACUGUUGCAUAUCAUAUUAGAGCAUAAAUGGCUGAAUACAGCUCAAGGCACUGUUGCGCGUUAUAAUGUUGACCAACCUCUAUAAGAAUUAUCUGUGUAAAGAGCAAAUUGGAAACCAUACCAAAAAAAAAGGAAAUCUCUGCUUCAAGGGUCAAAUGCAACCCCCUGGGCUCAGGUAAUGCGGCUUGGGGACAUUUUUUGAAUGUCACAUAAAAAAAA